rnacentral:tRNA from 1 species
UAGCUCGUCAGGCUCAUAACCUGAAGGUCGUAGGUUCAAAUCCUACCCCCGCAA